rnacentral:pre_miRNA from 1 species
GAUUUCAACUGAUAAAGUCAUAAACAACAAAGUUGUAUAACUUAUCAAUAUCUAUAAAUUUUAUUUUGCUCAUUUCUUCAUCCAACAAAGUGAUACUAACAUUUUUCAUAAAAUUUACAUAUCUGUAUUAUUUUAUAAAACUAUACAAGAGAUAUGUAAAUUUUAUGAACAAUGCUACUAUUACUUUGUUGGAUGAAGAAAAUGACCAAAAUAAAAUUUAUAGGUAUUGAUGAGUUAUACAACUUUGUUGUUGAUGACAUUUUCAUUUGAAAUC